rnacentral:rRNA from 1 species
UUGCUCAAGUAAAAGAUUAAGCCAUGCAUGCACAGUCCAAUCGACUUUUCGAAUGAAACUGCGGACGGCUCAUUAUAGCAUUGAAACGUUAUUCUGGCACCAUAACGAGGAUAUCUGCGGAAAUACUGGAGUUAAUACUUGCCUAUGAUGUCCUGCCCGACGUAAGUCAGGCUGCGGUUAUUAGUGAAGGCCAACCGUCUCUGACGGACUGUGUUGACACUGAAUAACGCUCGUUCAUUGUCGGUUUAUCCGGCAAGGUCCAGAAAACUUUUCUGCCCUAUCAACUAGACGUCAGAGUCGUGACCUGACGUGGUUGCCACGGGUAACGGAGAAUUAUGUUCGUCUCCGGAGAGGCCGCCUUAGAAACGGCUACCACAUCCAAGGAAGGCAGCAGGCGCGAAACUUACUCACUAUNAUAGAUGAAGUAGUAACUGGAAAUACAAAACCUUUGCCCUAUGGGUAGAGGUAUUUGAAUGAGAAGAUAUUAAAAAUAUCUCCGAGAAACUAAGAGAGGGCAAGUCUGGUGCCAGCAGCCGCGGUAAUUCCAGCUCUCUUAGCGUAUGUCAUUAUUGCUGAGGUUAAAAAGUACAUAGUUGAUUUCAUGUUAGCCGUCGCCGGUUCGCCUUCUUGGCGUCAAUCGGCCGUCUCUCAUGUGACGGAGUCGCACUCGUGUGGCGUCGUCGAGUUUACUUUGAUUAAAUCAGAGUGCUCAAAACAGGCUUAUGUCUGAAUGUGUUAUCAAGGAAUAAUGCAAAAGGUCUGCGGAUCUUUGAUUGGUCUAUGAGACGUAGAAAUGGUUAAUGUCCACUGUCGGGGCCGAUCGUAUUCCUGCGGGAGGGGUGAAAUCCGUUGAUCGCAGGAGGACGUCCAAAAGCGAAAGCAGUCGGCAAGUCAGUGGUCGUCAAUCAAGUUCGAUAGGUAGAGGUUCGAAGGCGAUUAGAUACCGCCCUAGUUCUACCCGUAAACGAUCGUAACUCGCGAUCUGCCCGCGUACCUACGCGUGGCUAGGGAGCGUUCCGGAAACGAAAGUCUUUCGUGUCCUGGACGUAGUACGGUUGCAAAUCUGAAACUUAAAGAAAUUGACGGAAGGGCACCACCAGGAGUGGAGCUUGCGGCUUAAUUUGACUCAACACGGGAAAACUCACCCGGUCCAGACGUGGUUAUGAUUGACAGACUGAUAGCUCUUUCUCGAUUUCACGGUUAGUGGUGCAUGGCCGUUCUUAGUUCGUGGAGUGAUUUGUCUGGUUAAUUCCGAUAACGAGCGAGACUCAGUCCUACUAAAUAGAAGGCAAGUAUUGUCCGGCUUGUCAAUUCUUCUUAGAGGAAUAAGCGGUUUUUAGCCGCACGAGAUUGAGCAAUAACAGGUCUGUGAUGCCCUUAGAUGUCUGGGGCUGCACGCGUGCAACAAUGGAAACAUCAACGUGCGUACCGUCGCCGAGAGGUGUCGGGAAACCGUUGAAAUGUUUUCGUGACUGGGACCAGACUUUGUAAUUAGUCUGUGAACGAGGAAUUCCUAGUAAGUGUGAGUCAUCAGCUCGCGCUGAUUACGUCCCUGCCCUUUGUACACACCGCCCGUCGCUAUCCGGGACUGAGCUGUUUCGAGAAGAGUGAGGAUCGACCGCUGUCGGUGUCAUAGCUGACUUCGGAUGUAGAAUCACUUUGAUCGCAAUGGCUUGAACCGGGUAAAAGUCGUAACAAGGUACCG